GUGGAGAAGACAACUGCACUUAUUUAACAGUUGGGAAGAAACGGAAAUGAUUGCAUUAGGCGCCGCAGCAGCUUAGGUCAUAUGGCACCGCUAGGGUUAACGGGACAACACUACAUCUCCCACUGGGCAACUAGGUUUGGUAAGAAUUCCAAUCCGGGCCGCCUACACCGGAGGCCCGAACACGAGCCGCCUUAACCAACUACGCCAUCCUCUCUCUCUCUCUCUCUCUCUCUCUCUCUCGAAGACCAUCACCAGCGUGUCUGCCUCGGUUCCCACUGCACACCACCUAUACGUGGACGGUUCACUGCAGGCGGACGGGACUGCAGCGUGUGCCGUGUUCUCCUCUACUGUGGAGCCCCCACGGGGGGAUGGGUGGGUUGGCCGUCGUUUACCCAACGCGUCGAGUUCCAUCUACUGUGAGCUCAAUGGCCUAUUGGACGCUGUUACCAUCCUUACUGAGAGGGGACUGGACGGGGUGAUCGUCUGUGACUCUAAGUCUGCCCUUCACGCCCUUUCAUCUCCAAGACCUGCUUAUGACCAUGUAGUGCGAGACAUAUUGUGUCGGCUGGCCACUGCCCGUGACAGUGCUUUAGUUGUGUCCUUUCUAUGGGUGCCGUCUCACGUGGGACUCACGGCUAAUGAUACUGUGGACGGUCUUGCUAAGGCUGCGUGUGGUCUCCCCUUGCCUGCAGUGCGUGCCGCGCCCUCCUUACGGUGCUACAGAAAUACACUGUUUUCUGCUGUUAAUGUCCUGACAGUGAAUCGUAGGAACACCGAGCGUGCUGAUAGUGUAUCCAUCCAUACAGCAUUAUGACAACUUCAUUGACACCACGCACAAAUAUCGCCGCCACGGACACAUGGUCCGCAGACACGAUGUCAUAAGUGCUAGGCUUAGAUUAGGUUACCGACCAGUGUGGCAGGUUUCCCAGGCUGAGGAUGUGCCUCACUAUUCCACCUGUAAGUUGUGUCAUCUUGCCAACGCCAAUACCCUCGAACAUUAUUGUCUUGCGUGCCCCACAGUGAGAGACUUGCUACCACAAGGACAGGAUUUAAUAUCUGUAUGUAAAUAUCUCCUUCUGAAUGAUAACUUGGAUUUGAUGCUCAUGAGACAUCAAUAUUUUGGUGGUUACUAAAUGUAAAUAUUUAAGUUUUCUAAUUUGUGUGUGUGUGUGUGUGUGUGUGUGUGUGUG